UCAUUCGAAAAUAGAAUUUUAUAUAUCCAUGCCAACAGAAUAAAGGUUUGUAUUUGAAAUAACAUUGUACACAAUCCACCCAAUCAGCCAUUUUCCAGCGUAUGGUACGUGCCCGAAAUUCAGAGUAUGUCAUCUAUACGAGGGAUAGAUAUAGGAAAUGCUUCAGGACCCUUAUCACUCGUGUACGGCACUGCUAGCCGACUGCGCGCGGCGCCACAUCGAUUUUUCCACUAAACAAGCCAUUUUCAACCAUCAGUGACAUUGUAAACACGUUUAGCUCAGCGUCCAACGAUCCAGCAUAAUUGAAUUGAUAAUAUGUGCGACAUGUGAGUGUCUUCCUCGUAAAUAAUGAGACACACUUCGUCAACUCGCAGUGAUGGCCGCACAAAAUAAAGUUGAAGGAGAGGCCGAAGAGAUGCCGGUGGUGGUGGCCACGGACCCUAGCACCGAGCAGAAGGAGCGCUUGAUAGCUGCCGUCAAAAAGGAGGUCAAGCAGUUGAUGGAAGAGGCUGUCACCCGGAAGUUCGUGCACGAAGAGAGCGGAGGGGUGAC
rnacentral:lncRNA from 1 species